CGCCCAAUAGCUAGCUCACUCACUAACAAACAACACAUCACCAUUACUAACCCCUCAUGUACCAAAUAAAAUUAAACAAACCAUUUUUCCCCCUAAGUAUGGGCGACAGAAAAGGAACAUUGAAGCAAUAGAGAAAGUACCGCAAGGGAAAGCUGAAAGAGAAAUGAAACAACCCAGUUAAGCUCGAAGAAGCAGAGACUAAACCUCGUACCUUUUGCAUCAUGAACUAGCGAGAAUAACCAGGCGAAAAGAUUUUUAGUCUGAUGUCCCGAAACCAAGUGAGCUACUCCAAGACAGCCUAUAACAAGGGCAAACCCGUCUCUGUGGCAAAAGAGUGGGGAGAGCUUUGAGUAGAGGUGAUAGACCUAUCGAACUUGGUUAUAGCUGGUUGCCUGAGAAAUGGAUAGAAGUUCAGCCUUUUUAAUUCUUUAUUCACAACCAAACCAGAUAAUAAGAAACUAAAAGAGUUACCCAAAGGGGGUACAGCCCCUUUAGGACAAGACACAACUUCCCCAGGAGGAUAAAGAUCAGAAUAAUAACAGGAGAGCAUGUUUUAGUGGGCCCAAGAGCAGCCAUCCCUAAUGAGAGCGUUACAGCUCAAACACCCUCCCCAAUCCACAGAUUCCGACAAUUUCAUCUCAACCCCUAACAAUACCAGGCCGUCCCAUGCCCCCCAUGGGAGUGACCAUGCUAGUAUGAGUAAUAAGAGAACUAGAUUCUCUCCCUGCAUACGUGUACGUCGGAACGAACCCACGCCGAUCCCUAACGGACCCAAUACAAAGAGGAAAUAGGGCCACACGAUAGAGAACAAGAAAAACACCCUUAAAUUAACCGUUAAUCCUACACUGGUAUGCCUACAAGGAAAGACUAAAAAGGAAAGAAGGAACUCGGCAAACACUUACAAGCCUCGCCUGUUUACCAAAAACAUCGCCUCUUGCAAAAUCAACAAAUAAGAGGUCCCGCCUGCCCUGUGACUAUAUGUUUAACGGCCGCGGUAUUUUGACCGUGCGAAGGUAGCGCAAUCACUUGUCUUUUAAAUGGAGACCUGUAUGAAUGGCACGACGAGGGCUUAACUGUCUCCUAAACUAAGUCAAUGUAGUUGAUCUCCCCGUGCAGAAGCGGGGAUAAACCCAUAAGACGAGAAGACCCUAUGGAGCUUUAGACACUAAAACAGCUCAUGUUAAAAACCCUCACAAAAGAGGCCAAACUAGAUGACCCCUGUCCUAAUGUCUUUGGUUGGGGCGACCACGGGGCAACAAAAAACCCCCGCGCGGAACAGAAACACUGUUUCCAGAACCAAGAGCACCCACUCUAAGUAACAAGACCCACUUGACCUUUAAGAUCCGGCACAAGCCGAUCAACGGACCGAGUUACCCUAGGGAUAACAGCGCAAUCUUCUUCGAGAGCUCAUAUCGACGAGAAGGUUUACGACCUCGAUGUUGGAUCAGGACAUCCUAAUGGUGCAGCCGCUAUUAAGGGUUCGUUUGUUCAACGAUUAAAGUCCUACGUGAUCUGAGUUCAGACCGGAGCAAUCCAGGUCAGUUUCUAUCUAUGAUACCAUUUUUUCUAGUACGAAAGGACCGAAAAGAAAAGGCCUAGCCUAGAAGGAUGCCUUUCCCUCAUCUAAUGAAAACAACUUAACUAGCCGAGAGGGGGUUCAACCACAAAGCCUGAGACCAAGGCAC
rnacentral:rRNA from 1 species